CUCUUCCUCCUCUUCUCCAGCCAUGACCUCUACCAGCAGCUCCGCGGUACAAGUGGCCUCACCCAGAUUGUUGACAGCCUUCACCGUGUACUUGGCAUCGUCGUCGCCUGACACCUGGGGCGAAAAUGACACGGACCAACAAUAAAUUCCAUCUAAGUGGGACUGAAGGCUGACUUCAUAUCCUUCUUGAGCAUCCUGGUGAUGAAGUCCUUGGCAUCAUCUGAGAUCUCGUCGAAGGCCUCGUCCUCAAAGUCCCAUGUGGCCGAAGUCACGUUGGCCAACGUCUCGUUGUCGUUGUCGCCCAUGAAGGGUGACAGACCGCUCAGCCUGACAGGGAAGAAUACAGGUAAUAUUCAACCUAUGGAACAGUUUGCUAAGGAUAUCCUUGUGUUACUAUGUAGUACUCCGAGCAUGUAACAGACUUAGCUUUUCUACAUAUAACUAAUAUGCAGUACUGGCAGUAUCAAACAGAUUACUAUGGUAUUCUACAUUUAACUGAAGCAAUACCAAAAGCAGAUUACGCAAGUACUCAAAAUGUAACUCAUGCAGUACUCCCAGUAUGUCGCAGAUGACUUUGGUUCUCCACAUGUAACUGGUAUGCAGUGCAGUAGAACUUCUAUAUAACUAAUAGGGGAUAGGAGCCGUCCGUUAAAGUCGUUUGUCCGUUAAUUUGAAGCACUUUUUCCGUGGCCUAAAAACACCCAGUAGAGUACAAAAUUGUAUUUAAUUUAGAGUCUUCAGUUAACCUACCCUGCAUGUUUUUGGGAUGUGGGAGGAAACCGGAAUACCCGGAGAAAAUCCACGCUGGCACGGGGAGAACACGCAAACUCCACACAGGCGAGGACGGAUUUGAAACAGGGUCCUCAGAACUGUAAGGCAGAUGUGCUAACCAGUCGUCCACCGUGCCACCUUUACAAAAUUAUUGUAAAUACAUAUAAAAAAGCUUGAAAAUAUUUGAAAAGUUUUAAAGUUUAUCCAAAAUUACCUUUAAACAUUGCAGGUCUAUACUACCCUGAAAGUGCCAUUGCACAUACCACAAAAAGCUUCCUCCAGGUCCCUACUUUGACACGCUUUCAUGUGCUUACACUGAUGCGCAACACCUUUCUUAUCUUUUGUAGGGUCCACAUCAAAUUUAACAGUAAAAGUUUGGAGUUUUUCAUUACUCCUAGGUAUGUCAGUUAGUUUAUUUAUUUAUUUAUUUUUUUACACCAUAUUCCUCACAUACUCUGGCCACAGAAACUCCCAACUCCAGCUUCAUAAGUUCCAAUAUGUCACUAAUACUGAGGUUAGUGCACUUUUCUUUUCAGCUCUGUUAUGAUUGGAUGCCAUAGUGAAGGCCUUGACAAAAAACAACUGUAGCAUGUUCGAGCCAUAGAUAUGAAUAGGUAGAUACGACACGCACAUUUUCAGCUGCGUGCCUAUGGCAAAACUUCGCUAAUGUCCGUGUAUUUCCUUUGUUGGGAACAUCGCCCCUGCCAACAUGACCGCCACAUAGUCAUGUCGGUAAGCCAGAUCUAGUCUCUGUGACAACAGUGGCACAACCCGGAAAUACUGUACAGGUACCAGUCUGUGUCUGUGAAAGCACCAGGAAACAACAGCGGCCAAUUCUGGAACUAACAGACUUUGUUUGCUACAAGGGGCAUUUUGAGUUCCAACCUGACACUGAUUUCUGUCUGUUAAAUCUGAAGUCCGUUGUGUCCGGCUCCAUUAAAUCGAGGUUCCAUGUGUAGUGUAUUUUUAAUAAGCACCUGAGGAGAGACAUUUUCACAGUAUAGCAGGAUGCCUGCAGAAGCGUGACUGCUUCAGCUCUUUCUCUUUCAACCUUGUUUAAGGAGGGCAAUUGCAUUCCUGAGACCAAAUGCUUAUCCAUAAAUCUUCCCUGCAGUUUACAGGGCAAUAUGUUCUCUGGGUAAGCUAUGACAGGAGCCACAAACGGGGGCUGCUGGUGUAACAUCAAAGAUUACGAUCGCCAUGUGGUGGAUCAAAUCCAGACUCAUCAUUCCUUUGGGUUUCGGUUGAUUCAAUGAUAAGAGGGCCAUCUGAUGGACAAAAAGUGACACCAAGUAUAGGUAAGAGGAAGUAGCUGUACAAUUCAAACCUUAGUGAACCAAUCAGGCGUAGGGGCGGUACUUGUCAGGCCUGCUGUUUCAGCACCCUGAGUCCAGCCCGUGUGUGUGUGUGUGUGUGUGUGUGCAUGUGUGUGUGUCAUGAGUGCUUUCCAGGGUUGUUGGAGUCUUGCAGCUGCACCUUGUCAUCCUAAUUACACCUGACUGCUCUUAAGACGCUAUGGGACUGCAACUCGUCGCCAGACUAUCAACGCUCUACGUCAAUCUGCCAUCAGCCCUUGCUCCCUGCAAACCAGUGCUCACCUCUUGCGGCCCACUGACAACACGGACUCCUACCCUGCCAGACCGGUCCUCGUUGGAUCCCUGCCAAUCCCGGAUUUAGUUCUCGGACUUCCUUUGUUCGCUUCCAAACUGCAAUAAACCUUUAUUCACAAACUCA